UUCAUACAAAUUGUACAGAUACUAAUUUUUUUUUUUUUUUUUUUUUUUUUAAUAAAGGUUAUACAAAACACAACUUUGUUCAUUCUAUGCAAAAGGAAUAUGUGCAAGAGGCAACAGAUGCAGUUGGGCUCAUGGGGAGUUGGAUGUUAGGCCUAUGCCUAAAUUUUACAAGACUAGGAUGUGUUAUACGUUUUUAUCUGGUAGUUACUGUGAAGCUUCUAAAUGUACGUUCGCACACACAGAAGAAGAAUUAAGAGGUUCAGGAAAAGCUUUGAGAUUAUGUACAAAGUAUUUUUUAGAUGGCUACUGCAAUAAAGCUGACAAAUGUCCUAUGGCUCAUAACAUAAAUCAACUAGACCCAUCAGUAAAAUUUUCAUCAAGUGAAUUAAUGAAUAAGGUUUAUUCUAAUGAGGAUAAUGUAUAUUAUAAUAAUAAUAAUAACCUUGACUUGCCAAAGAAUGAUAAUAAGGAAACUGAAGGAAAUGGUCGUAAAAACAGUAGUAGAAGCAGUAGUACACAUAACAAUAAUUACAACAUCCAUGGAGGAACUAAUAAUAAUAUAAGUCAUAAUAUCCAUAACUAUCACAAUAAUAAUAGUAGUAAUAAUGCAGUUUUUGAAAUUACGAACGAGUUAGAUGACGUUAAUGUAAAAAAGCAUUUAAAAGAUUACCAUAUUAUGAACAAUUUUAAUAAUAGUGAAAAUGACAAAAACGAUAUUGAUGAUCCAAAAAAGAAUAGUUAUAAGAUUUAUAGAAAUUGUGAGAAAAAAAUGUAUAAAGAUUAUUUAUUGGAUGACAACCAGACAAAUGAUUACUUUGAUGAAAUAAAAAAAGGAAAUGGUAAUUCGUUUGUUACUCUUUUUGUGCAUCUGCUGUGCAUAUAAUGAUCAAUUUGUACGUAUUUUUACGUAUUUUUACGUAUUUGUACGUAUUUUUACGUAUUUUUUUUUUUUUUUUUUUUUUUUUUUUUUACAUACUUACUACUUACUUUUUACCACUUAUCUUUUACCACUUAUCUUUUACCACUUAACACUUAUCACUUACCACUUACCACUUACCACUUACCACUACUACUUCUUUGUUUACAGAAUUCACGUAUUACAACAAAACCGAUGGUCGUACAAACAGUGGAGAAUCCUCUCGAAAUAAACACAUAAAAGUAAACA
ensembl:lncRNA